rnacentral:tRNA from 1 species
GCGGAAGUGGCGGAAUUGGUAGACGCGCUGGACUAAGGAUCCAGUGCCUUUUAAACGGCGUGGGGGUUCGAGUCCCCCCUUCCGCA